rnacentral:rRNA from 1 species
AUACGUAGGGGGCGAGCGUUGUCCGGAAUGAUUGGGCGUAAAGGGCGCGUAGGCGGCCUGUUAAGUCUGGAGUGAAAGUCCUGUUUUCAAGAUGGGAAUUGCUUUGGAUACUGAUGGGCUUGAGUGCAGGAGAGGUUAUCGGAAUUCCCGGUGUAGCGGUGAAAUGCGUAGAGAUCGGGAGGAACACCAGUGGCGAAGGCGGGUAACUGGACUGCAACUGACGCUGAGGCGCGAAAGUGUGGGGAGCAAACAGGAUUAGAUACCCUGGUAGUCCACACUGUAAACGAUGAAUGCUAGGUGUAAGAGGUAUCGACCCCUUUUGUGCCGGAGUUAACACAAUAAGCAUUCCGCCUGGGGAGUACGGCCGCAAGGUUGAAACUCAAAUGAAUUGGCGGGG